CCUACGGGAGGCAGCAGGGAUGAAUAUUGGACAAUGGGCGCAAGCCUGAUCCAGCCAUGCCGCGUGCAGGAAGACGGUCCUAUGGAUUGUAAACUGCUUUUAUACAGGAAGAAACACCUCUACGUGUAGAGACUUGACGGUACUGUAUGAAUAAGCAUCGGCUAACUCCGUGCCAGCAGCCGCGGUAAUACGGAGGAUGCAAGCGUUAUCCGGAAUCAUUGGGUUUAAAGGGUCCGUAGGCGGUUUAAUAAGUCAGUGGUGAAAGCCCAUCGCUCAACGAUGGAACGGCCAUUGAUACUGUUAAACUUGAAUUAUUAGGAAGUAACUAGAAUAUGUAGUGUAGCGGUGAAAUGCUUAGAGAUUACAUGGAAUACCAAUUGCGAAGGCAGGUUACUACUAAUAUAUUGACGCUGAUGGACGAAAGCGUGGGGAGCGAACAGGAUUAGAUACCCUGAUAGUCCACGCCGUAAACGAUGGAUACUAGCUGUUCGGAGCAAUCUGAGUGGCUAAGCGAAAGUGAUAAGUAUCCCACCUGGGGAGUACGUUCGCAGAAUGAAACUCAAAUGAAUUAGACGG
rnacentral:rRNA from 1 species